GACGAACGCUGGCGGCGUGCUUAACACAUGCGAGUCGAACGGAAAGGCCCUGCUUUUGUGGGGUGCUCGAGUGGCGAACGGGUGAGUAACACGUGAGUAACCUGCCCUUGACUUUGGGAUAACUUCAGGAAACUGGGGCUAAUACCGGAUAGGAGCUCCUGCUGCAUGGUGGGGGUUGGAAAGUUUCGGCGGUUGGGGAUGGACUCGCGGCUUAUCAGCUUGUUUGUGGGGUAGUGGCUUACCAAGGCUUUGACGGGUAGCCGGCCUGAGAGGGUGACCGGGCACAUUGGGACUGAGAUACGGACCAGAAUCCUACGGGAGGCAGCAGUGGGGAAUCUUGCACAAUGGGCGGAAGCCUGAUGCAGCAACGCCGGGUGCGGGAUGACGGCCUUCGGGUUGUAAACCGCUUUCGCCUGUGACGAAGCGUGAGUGACGGUAAUGGGUAAAGAAGCACCGGCUAACUACGUG
rnacentral:rRNA from 1 species